GACGGCCUUCGGGUUGUAAACCUCUUUUAGCAGGGAAGAAGCGAAAGUGACGGUACCUGCAGAAAAAGCGCCGGCUAACUACGUGCCAGCAGCCGCGGUAAUACGUAGGGCGCAAGCGUUAUCCGGAAUUAUUGGGCGUAAAGAGCUCGUAGGCGGUUUGUCGCGUCUGCUGUGAAAUCCCGAGGCUCAACCUCGGGCCUGCAGUGGGUACGGGCAGACUAGAGUGCGGUAGGGGAGAUUGGAAUUCCUGGUGUAGCGGUGGAAUGCGCAGAUAUCAGGAGGAACACCGAUGGCGAAGGCAGAUCUCUGGGCCGUAACUGACGCUGAGGAGCGAAAGGGUGGGGAGCAAACAGGCUUAGAUACCCUGGUAGUCCACCCCGUAAACGUUGGGAACUAGUUGUGGGGUCCAUUCCACGGAUUCCGUGACGCAGCUAACGCAUUAAGUUCCCCGCCUGGGGAGUACGGCCGCAAGGCUAAAACUCAAAGGAAUUGACGGGGACCCGCACAAGCGGCGGAGCAUGCGGAUUAAUUCGAUGCAACGCGAAGAACCUUACCAAGGCUUGACAUAUACGAGAACGGGCCAGAAAUGGUCAACUCUUUGGACACUCGUAAACAGGUGGUGCAUGGUUGUCGUCAGCUCGUGUCGUGAGAUGUUGGGUUAAGUCCCGCAACGAGCGCAACCCUCGUUCUAUGUUGCCAGCACGUAAUGGUGGGAACUCAUGGGAUACUGCCGGGGUCAACUCGGAGGAAGGUGGGGAUGACGUCAAAUCAUCAUGCCCCUUAUGUCUUGGGCUUCACGCAUGCUACAAUGGCCGGUACAAAGGGCUGCAAUACCGCGAGGUGGAGCGAAUCCCAAAAAGCCGGUCCCAGUUCGGAUUGAGGUCUGCAACUCGACCUCAUGAAGUCGGAGUCGCUAGUAAUCGCAGAUCAGCAACGCUGCGGUGAAUAC
rnacentral:rRNA from 1 species